rnacentral:lncRNA from 1 species
AGACACCUGCUCCCUGCACCCAAGCCGUCAUGGUCGGCUUGCCUCCGCCUGUCCAGAAGUCUCCAGGCUUGGGGCCCUGAUUGCCAGCUGCUGACACUUGGUCUCCCAGCAGCUGCCCCUUGAGGGGAGCGAAGCAAGUUACAAAGUGCCGGGAGCCGUGCAAGGCCAGUGAACCCCUCGCUGAGACUCAGUUUGCUGCCAUCACAAGUGCUCCGAGAAUCCUGGAGAGGGAGGAUAUAUUGGAGACAAACGGGACUGCUGCCCGCCUUUUAGGUGACCGUCGGAGGCUGCUCUGAGCCGGGCACAGGCAGGCUCCCACAGCUCAGAAGUCAGCGGAGCAGAGUCCCCAGGAAACCAGGGUCAGGGAUGGAGGCUGCUGAGGAGCGGGUCUGGGAGGUGGAGGCCAGAUACAAGUAAACCACAGUACCAGUAAAUGACAAAGGCUGGAUCUUAACCCAAGUCCUCCGACUCUGAAGGCCAUACCCAACAGGUCCCAUUUUAUUUGUUUUACUUUUUUUAAAUUGAAGAAGAAAAAAACUAGCAUUCCCCUACAGUGCCCCCCACCUGGUGG